AGAGAGAGAGAGGGAGGUGUAAUGGGGAGAGUGAGAGAGAGAGCGAGAGAGAGGGAGGUGUAAUGGGGAGAGUGAGAGAGAGAGGGAGAGAGAGGUAGGUGUAAUGGGGAGAGUGAGAGAGAGAGCGAGAGAGAGGGAGGUGUAAUGGGGAGAGUGAGAGAGAGAGAGAGGGAG